GACCACAAUGUCAACCGACCUUGGAAAUGUUUACCGAAGUGUUCGGAUUUCCAGGAGUGCGGCUUAUAGAUCUAAUUUGCUGACGAGUCUUCGCUGUUGGCGAGAACACUUAAGGCAGAGUGCCUUUUUUUGUGUUCUCGGGUGAAUAUAUUCUUGAAUUACUCCCUCGUCUACUUGCGCCAUAGUCCCGAGAACCCCUAGGAUGAGGUACCUUCUUCGGGUGCUUAGGAAUAUGGGUGCAUUUUGUGUGCUGAAUCUGAACCUGACAGCCUUAGAUGGGCAUCUCCGAAGACAAGUGUCUACAGGGCGGUGUGCCCUCAGUGGAUUCUUAGGAGUGCGGCAUCUACUCUGCUUCGACCAUAAUCCCGAAGACCAAUAGGGCGGAAUACCCUUCUCGGUCAGUCAAUCAGGAAAAUGGCUGUUGGAUCUUCAUCUACUCUGCUUCGACCAUAAUCC
rnacentral:lncRNA from 1 species